AAUUUUGCCCUUGAUGAGAUAUCCCUUCUCCUUAAUCUAAAACACAAUGUAAAAAAAAAAAAAAAAAACCAUUUGGCUCUUGCUCUCCUGCCCGUGAAUCCCUUCUCCUUCAACACAACGGUGAACGUUUGAAUAAUCCUCUCCUCCAGUGAACGUCUGCAACAACAACGGUCCCACAACCCGAUUCUAAGUAUGGAGAAUAGCGGGUCAACACUAGUGGUGGUCUUGGAUCGAGUUCGUGAGGAGAUCAUCGAGGAAUUGGGAAGCUACGAGGGCUUCUGUUCUGACAUCGUCAUUGACUAACACACCCAUGUACAAGAUUAAGCUGUCCCAUCAUUUCCAGGCUCUACUUGUGGCCGUGUGGUAUUGUUAUGGUUGAAGAUAUAAGUAUCACAAAUGUGCAACAAAGUUACGGUUGAGAGAAGAAGGGUUUUCUCGAAAAAGCAUUGGCGGUGAUAUGUUCAGAUUUGUGGAAGUUUCAGUGUGUCCCUUCUUUUACCUAUGAGUUACGAUACUGUACACCAAAGAUAAGAGAUAAAUCAACACUUCAAGAAGGCUUGAUGAUCUGAUUGCUCAUGAAUAUUGAUUUAGGGGGAGUGCUCAUAUUACAUAUUAUGACAGUUGUUCUUAUACAAUAAAUAAUACUGAUAGUUGAGUUAGUUCAUGGACAACACGUUGAUCUAUGUAGAGUGCUAUACCCUAGGUCAACAAUGUAAUCAUUAAUUAUUACAUGAGCCAUAUAAUCUCUUAUCAUGGGUCUAUGACCCCCUAGAUGUAGAUGUUGUGUCAUCGAACUGGGUUACCAAAGUUUGAUGUGUUCACUAUGCUUUUAUGUGUUUCCAUAGUUAUACUCUGUGUUAUUAUAACUUACGAUACAACAAACAAUAUAUCUAUCACUAAGUGUAUAUUUUCUCAUUAUGAUUUAGUGACUAAUCUUGUAUA